rnacentral:rRNA from 1 species
GCCAGACUCCUACGGGAGGCAGCAGUGAGGAAUAUUGGUCAAUGGACGAGAGUCUGAACCAGCCAAGUAGCGUGAAGGAUGACUGCCCUAUGGGUUGUAAACUUCUUUUAUAAAGGAAUAAAACGAGGCACGUGUGCCUUUUUGCAUGUACUUUAUGAAUAAGGAUCGGCUAACUCCGUGCCAGCAGCCGCGGUAAUACGGAGGAUCCGAGCGUUAUCCGGAUUUAUUGGGUUUAAAGGGUGCGCAGGCGGAAUGUCAAGUCAGCGGUAAAAUUUCGGGGCUCAACCCCGUCGUGCCGUUGAAACUGGCGUUCUUGAGUGAGCGAGAAGUAUGCGGAAUGCGUGGUGUAGCGGUGAAAUGCAUAGAUAUCACGCAGAACUCCGAUUGCGAAGGCAGCGUACCGGCGCCCAACUGACGCUGAAGCACGAAGGCGUGGGUAUCGAACAGGAUUAGAUACCCGUGUA